rnacentral:lncRNA from 1 species
CAGACAAGGUUUUGUACCUCUCACACCCAGUUGUUAAUUUCCUUUCCAAUUCUUUCUUCCAUAGAUCUCAUUUCUUUUCCAUUUUUUCACUGUAAAAACUCUCAUUCCAUUUAUAAAACCAUUUUUAACUCUUAAAAAAAAAAACAACCAAACUUUUUCUUUCAUCAGUUCCAUGAAUUCUAGUUGUUUGUAUCCAAGUUGUUUUCCUCCGAGAUAAUUCUUGUAGAUGUUUUGGGGUCUUUUUCUGGUUUAUUUCUUGAGUGUCCCUGUCACCAUAAAAGUUCAUUAUGCUGGAGUUCUUUUUUUUUAAUUAUUUGCUCAUUUUCUAAACUUACUUCCUAAUUUUAAACUUGAUGGUAGGGCUAAGCUCUGUGGCACUUCUGGAAGAAGGUCUAGGCUAGUCCUUUUGAUAAUUUUUGGGGGGAGUAUUGAACAUUAUACUAUUCCAAGAUCUUGAGACUUGAGAUACAGGUUGGGGACCUGCAAACUUUCAAAGUGGUCUGAUCCAAGGCAAAGUCUGAUUAUUGCUCCACGCUGGUCUGAGUUCUGCAAAUUUUUAACCUAGGUUUGGGUUUAUGCAAGAGUUAACUGCUAGGAGCAGCUAGGUGGCACUGUAGAUAGAGAGCCAGGCCUUGAGAACAGAAGUCUUGGGCUCAGAUCUGAACUCAUACUUCUUAGCUGUGUGACCUUGGGUAUAUCACUGGACCCCAGUUACCUAGCCCUUUACCAUCCUUCUGCCUUGGAAUUGAUACUGAGUAUUGAUUCUAAGUCAGAAGGUAAAGGUUAAAAAAAAAAAGAGCUGACCGCUACUGAACUCUGUGGUCAUUGACCAUCUGGAAAAGUCUUUUGGCUCAGAAUGGCAAAUUUGUAGGUUCCCCUUUAGUCUGAGAUUCUCCAGGUCUAUCUGUCUGGUCAGAUCCUGUGCAGACCUCCCCAUCUUCCUUUGUCAAAUGGAGACAGACAAAAGGCUUACUGUGACUUCUGGAUUUCACCCUACAGGCUGGUUCAUUUUCUAGAUCUGUUUCGAGCUACUGUAUCCUGGCAGUUGGUGGAAGCAGUCAUCAAGCAAUCCAGAAGAAGAAAGAGGAAGCAAAGCAGAGAACAGAGAACCGGAAAAAAAGGUACAGCUUGGAUAAAUCACUCAGCAUCCUCAAUUGUAAAACAAGGGUAUUAACUAAUAUAGCCAUCCAUCUCAAGAUCUAUGAUAUGAUUACGAUCAUUCCAAUUUAUAAAUGAGGGAACUAAGUCUAGGAGAGGGUAAAUAAUUUACACAGGGUUUCAUAUUAAACAUCGGAGGUAGGAUUUAAACUCAAGUUUUCAUGACUUCACAUCCAGUCUUUUAUAUGCUACUCCUACCUCUAAUAAUUGCUAAUGCCUAGGCUACACUUUACCAAGUGGCAUACAUCCUAAGAGAACUGUGUGCCAAUUAGUAAGUUAUCACCUCCUGGGGGAAUCUCUCUCCUUCAAGGAAUAAUCAUUGCUGCCACAAAGACUAUAGUGAACCAAGGGAUUAAACCCUUUG